rnacentral:rRNA from 1 species
CUGCCCUUGACUCUGGGAUAAGCGCUGGAAACGGCGUCUAAUACCGGAUAUGACCUUCAACCGCAUGGUUUGUUGGUGGAAAGAAUUUCGGUCAAGGAUGGACUCGCGGCCUAUCAGGUAGUUGGUGAGGUAAUGGCUCACCAAGCCUACGACGGGUAGCCGGCCUGAGAGGGUGACCGGCCACACUGGGACUGAGACACGGCCCAGACUCCUACGGGAGGCAGCAGUGGGGAAUAUUGCACAAUGGGCGCAAGCCUGAUGCAGCAACGCCGCGUGAGGGAUGACGGCCUUCGGGUUGUAAACCUCUUUUAGUAGGGAAGAAGCGAAAGUGACGGUACCUGCAGAAAAAGCACCGGCUAACUACGUGCCAGCAGCCGCGGUAAUACGUAGGGUGCAAGCGUUGUCCGGAAUUAUUGGGCGUAAAGAGCUCGUAGGCGGUUUGUCGCGUCUGCUGUGAAAUCUGGGGGCUCAACCCCCAGCCUGCAGUGGGUACGGGCAGACUAGAGUGCGGUAGGGGAGAUUGGAAUUCCUGGUGUAGCGGUGGAAUGCGCAGAUAUCAGGAGGAACACCGAUGGCGAAGGCAGAUCUCUGGGCCGUUACUGACGCUGAGGAGCGAAAGCGUGGGGAGCGAACAGGAUUAGAUACCCUGGUAGUCCACGCCGUAAACGUUGGGAACUAGAUGUGGGGGCCAU